CGGGCGUUAAGUUGCAGGGUAUAGACCCGAAACCCGGUGAUCUAGCCAUGGGCAGGUUGAAGGUUGGGUAACACUAACUGGAGGACCGAACCGACUAAUGUUGAAAAAUUAGCGGAUGACCUGUGGCUGGGGGUGAAAGGCCAAUCAAACCGGGAGAUAGCUGGUUCUCCCCGAAAGCUAUUUAGGUAGCGCCUCGUGAAUUCAUCUCCGGGGGUAGAGCACUGUUUCGGCUAGGGGGCCAUCCCGGCUUACCAACCCGAUGCAAACUGCGAAUACCGGAGAAUGUUAUCACGGGAGACACACGGCGGGUGCUAACGUCCGUCGUGAAGAGGGAAACAACCCAGACCGCCAGCUAAGGUCCCAAAGUCAUGGUUAAGUGGGAAACGAUGUGGGAAGGCCCAGACAGCCAGGAUGUUGGCUUAGAAGCAGCCAUCAUUUAAAGAAAGCGUAAUAGCUCACUGGUCGAGUCGGCCUGCGCGGAAGAUGUAACGGGGCUAAACCAUGCACCGAAGCUGCGGCAGCGACACUGUGUGUUGUUGGGUAGGGGAGC
rnacentral:rRNA from 2 species